rnacentral:lncRNA from 1 species
GAAGACAUCAAAAGCGAGUUUCGGGAUCGGUAGGCAUGAGAAACGAUGCAGAAUAGCUGGCAGAAAAAUAUAUAAAACGAGGGUUUGUUCAUUCGGUCAUAUUUUGAGUUGGGGAGCUCAGAUUUGGGCGAUUUUAGGGGCGAUUUUCACCAUAAGGAUUGGGGUAAGUAUUCUCUACUCCGUUUCGGUUAUAUUUCAUGAAUCCAUCUUCGUUUUUGGGAUUUGAUUGAUGAUUUUAAAGUGAAAUUGAGGGAGUUAGGGUUUGAGUUUUGGAGAGUUUAAGUGAGGAUUUGAGGGACCAAACGGAGUCCGAUUUUGAUGAAUUUUAUAUUGUUAGACUCGGGAGAGGACGAGGUUUAUUAUUCUGCUAUUUUUGACUGAUUUUGAGACAUGGGCCCGGGGGCCGGGUUUUGGCCGGUUUCGGAUUUUUGGCAUAUUCAUGUAGUUUUUAUUGUGGAAUUUGAUUUUUUAGACUAUGUUGAUAGUAGUAUUCUGAUUUUUUGUUAGAUUCGGAGCUUUUGGAGACCAAGUCUAGAGACGAGGGCAUCCUGGAGUAGGAUUUUACGCUGUUAAGGUAAGUAACAGUUUUAACUUUGGCUUUGAGGGUAUAAACCCGGAGAAUUUGAUAUCGUGUGACUGUUUGGAGGUGAUACCCACGCUAGGUGAUGGGCGUGUGGGUGUAUACCUCGAGGGAUUGAGACUUGCUCCGUCCCGUGAGGCCUCAUGACCAUCAUCUGUGUUUACGUAAUUACUUGUUGUUGAACUUGUCUGCCUUCAUGUUAGGGAUCAUGCUUAGGCUUUAUUCAUGCUCACAUUAAUUAUACUCAGUCAUAGAAAUUAUUAUACAUGUUUACCCCAGUCUCUAUUAUUUGCUAAUAUGCUGUGAUACUUGAUGUGGGUUGUGUCCCCUUAUUUGUUGAUGAUGGUGAGGCUAGUGAGGUACAUGAUUGAGUGAAGCCGAGGGCCUGGUUGUGAGGAUAUUAAUACCAUAGCGUGUGAAUUGUCCGUGUAGCAUGUGAGUUGACUGUGCGGGUCCAGGUAUUGAUACCAUAGCGCGUGAGUUAUCUGCGUAGCACGUGAGUUGACCGUGCGAAUCCAGGUAUUGAUAUGAUGGCACGUGAGUUGUCCGUGCUUAGCGCUUGGGCUUUGGGAGCCCCUCCGGAAUCUGUACACACCCCCAGUGAGUGCAGAGUGUUGAGCGUUGAGUGUUGAGUGCGAGUGCUGAGUGAUGGAGGGACAUGGCUGUGAGGUUGCAUUUACUUUUAUUGUUGCUGCAUUUACCUGUUAAUUUUCCUUGUAGUCUUACUGAUUUAUGAAAUUACCUGUCUACUCCUGUUUGUACUUAAUUGUGGAAAUAAUAAUUGGAUUAUUAUGCUUAGCUCGUCACUACUUCUCAGUUCCUUAGUUAUUUCUUUUACUAUUGAGUCGGUUGUACUCAUACUACACCCUGCACUUUAUGUGCACCAGGUGAUUUAGAAGGCGGCGAUCGUUGAGUUCAGGCUGGCUAUCUUUGGAGACUGCAAGGUAGUUGUUAGCGUCCGCAGGACCUUGUUACUCUUCUUGUCAUUUCUUCUUUUGGACAGCUAGACAGUUUAUAUAUCUUAGUUCAUAGUUUUAGAUGCUCAUGACUUAGUGACAUCCCGAUGUUUGGGGCUCGUUUUCGUAUUUUCUAUAUUAUAUUUAGAGUUGAUUUAGUUUAUGAGAAAUUCAAAUGUUGAUAUUGUUUUAUUAAAUUCUUAUAAUCGAUUUAGUAGUAAUAUUUUGGGAAAUAGGCUUGCAUUGUAACACGAUAGGCGCCAUCACGAUCAUGGUUAGAUUUUGG